rnacentral:rRNA from 1 species
AUUGAACGCUGGCGGCAGGCCUAACACAUGCAAGUCGAACGAGUGGCGGACGGGUGAGUAAUGUCUGGGAAACUGCCCGAUGGAGGGGGAUAAAUACUGGAAACGGUAGCUAAUACCGCAUACCAUCGGAUGUGCCCAGAUGGGAUGAGCUAGUAGGGGGGGUAACGGCGAACCUAGGCGACGAUCCCUAGCUGGUCUGAGAGGAUGACCAGCCACACUGGAACUGAGACACGGUCCAGACUCCUACGAGAGGCAGCAGUGGGGAAUAUUGCACAAUGAGCGCAAGCCUGAUGCAGCCAUGCCGCGUGUAUUAAGAAGGCCUUCGGGUUUUAAAGUACUUUCAGCGAGGAGGCGUUACUCGCAGAAGAAGCACCGGCUAACUCCGUGCCAGCAGCGGCGGUAAUUC